rnacentral:misc_RNA from 1 species
UUUCCGUAGGUGAACCUGCGGAAGGAUCAUUAACGAGUUAGGGUCUUCCAGGCCCGACCUCCCAACCCUAUGUUUAUUGAACCUCUGUUGCUUCGGCGGACCCGUCUCACGACCGCCGGAGGACCGCAGCGAGGCGUCCUCUGGCCAGCGUCCGCCGAUGGCCAACCACUUAACUCUGAAUGAAUCGUGUCAUUAUGUCUAAGUCUAUGAUUAAAUUAAAGCAAAACUUUCAACAACGGAUCUCUUGGUUCUG